GUUGGCUAUGGUGAUAUGUGUCCUAUUACUUUGUCUGGGAAGGUGGUUGGUACUCUGUGUGCUAUUGCAGGUGUCUUGACUAUUGCACUCCCAGUGCCUGUGAUAGUAUCCAAC
rfam:Xenopus laevis strain J chromosome 2S, whole genome shotgun sequence.